rnacentral:rRNA from 1 species
AUUGAACGCUGGCGGCAGGCCUAACACAUGCAAGUCGAACGAGUGGCGGACGGGUGAGUAAUGUCUGGGAAACUGCCUGAUGGAGGGGGAUAACUACUUGAAACGGUAGCUAAUACCGCCUACCAUCAGCUGUGCCCAAAUGGGAUUAGCUUGUUGGUGGGGUAACGGCUCACCAAGGCGAAGAUCCCUAGCUGGUCUGAGAGGAUGACCAGCCACACUGGAAAUGAGACACGGCCCAGACUCCUACGGGAGGCAGCAGUGGGGAAUAUUGCACAAUGGGCGCAAGCCUGAUGCAGCCAUGCCGCGUGUAUGAAGAAGGCCUUAGGGUUGUAAAGUACUUUCAGCGGGGAGGCGUUACCCGCAGAAGAAGCACCGGCUAACUCCGUGCCAGCAGACGCGGUAAUUC